rnacentral:rRNA from 1 species
GAUGAACGCUAGCUAUAGGCUUAACACAUGCAAGUCGAGGGACCGGCGCACGGGUGAGUCACGCGUAUCCAACCUACCCAUACCUAAGAGAUAACCCAGCGAAAGUUGGACUAAUACCUUAUGGUUAUGGCUGGGGAUGCGUCUGAUUAGCUUGUUGGCGGGGUAACCGCGCACCAAGGCAACGAUCAGUAGGGGUUCUGAGAGGAAGGUCCACCACAUUGGAAAUACGACACGGACGAAAAUGCUACGGGAGGCUGCAGUGAGUAACAUUGGUGACUGGACGCAAGUCUGAACCAGCCGAGGAGCGAGGAGGAUGACGAGCUAGUGGAUGUAAACUGAUGUGAUAUGGGGAUAGGUACCAUAUGAAUAAGGACCGGCUAAUUCCGUGCCAGCAGCCGCGGUAAUAC